CAAUAUUAUGCAUUAAGAUCGAUUAUUUGCGUUGUUAUUUUAGCAUUCAAAAUUGCCAAUGCGGAGAUGCAUAAUCGAUCAAAGGCCAUACAAAAGGCAAUUAAUUAAUAUGCAUUUUUCAUAUUGCUUGUUUGCCAGUUCGAGAACAGUUUUGGUUAAUUCCUUGUAAAUAUUUUCGAUAGCCAACAAGUGGUUUUGAGAUCGAAUAUUGGCCUGUGAUAACUUUCUACUUGGUGGUCGUUGUAUUUGUACUAUGGGAACACUUUCUUCUAAAACUGGCAACAACCAAAUAGCCUUGAUCACAUAUCUUCUUCUUUUUGACCCCCUCGUUAACCUUACGAGAACUUUCUACGAGAGAUAACUCUGACAAUCGGUCAUUGCCACGUGUGUGUAAAACGGCGCAGAAGACAACAGAAGGUAAACAUGUCGAAGGAAGACGAGAAAUACAUGGACGAGUUCGACAAAUACAAUAUUGAGCAGGAUAAAUACGCUCAUGGAAAGAGUGGCGGCAAGCCCGGACGAAGCAAGACUGAAACAGAACAGAACAAGAAGCACGGAGAACACACACGUAAAAUCGCCGAGCAUCUCAUAAACAGCGCUCACAAGUCGGAGAAAGAGCCCGAUCACCAGCACCACAAAAAAUAAGCUCAGACAUGAAACAAAUUUUGAUGCAAAGCAAACCUCAGGAUGGGAACUGAAGAGAAGUUGGAGUCGCUCUCUUUAAAAAAAGAAAAUACAAAAGACUUAAUUAAUAUGCAGUUUACGAAAUAUCAACAAUGCAGAUAAUUGAAUUUUGCGGAAAUGGUUGAAAACCUGAUUGCAAUCUCAUGGACAUGCAGUUAUUUUGAAUAUUUUUUGUGAUAUUUAUCGCUAUAUUUUUUCUGUAUAAAUGUUAUAAAAAUUG